UGCAGCAGUUCCGUCACCUGCUGACGUAAUUGGAGCGCCAGUACGCGAUCAUCCGCCCCGAAAAGUGCAUCGUCCACGUAAAUGCAGUCAUUUAAGAUUGGGACAGCCAACGGGAAAUUAGUUCCUUCGUCCAAAGCGAGCUGCUUAAUUACGCGAUUAGCGAGAAAGGGAGCUGGCGCCGUACCAUAAGUGACGGAGCUGUUUUCUUCACCGCGCGAAGACGCCAACGAUUCUAAGGUGCGAAUACGUACAUUUAUAAACGCAUCCCAAUCAGAGAGGGAUGGAUACAACUCGUCUUCGCCCAUACGCAUCUCCCACUCCCGAUGGGACUCUUUAUCCAGCUUACGGACAAAAUGAAAAAUGAGCACAUCGUCCCAGUAUUCGACCGGACGCGAUAAAUUCUUUAAUGCCGUUAAAGCGGCGCGAGAUCUAUCACGUAAGCUUCUUAGAUCGUUUAAAACGGCAGAUCCGAUCGGGGGUAAAGCUGCCGUCAGAGCGUCGAGGGCAGAGAGGAAGGCCGCUUCCGUAUUGCCGAAGAUGUCCUCGGAGAAGUAGGAAUUUGUCCUGGUCUCCUCCUCAGUUGCAGCAACCUCAAUCUGGAUGUGCGUGGCUUGGAAUUUGUUCCAGUAGUCCUUCAGCAAAGAGAGACGUCCGCGAAUCACAGCAGGGGUGUGAUUAGCCUUCCCCAGUUUUUUAAAAUUGCUGAGUGCAUUACUUAUUAAACGUGCGUGCACUUUGUUUUCACGG